UACGUAGGGGGCUAGCGUUGUCCGGAAUCAUUGGGCGUAAAGCGCGCGUAGGCGGCCAGAUAAGUCCGGUGUGAAAGUCACAGGCUCAACCUGUGAAUGCCGCUGGAAACUGUCUGGCUAGAGUCCGGAAGGGCGAGUGGAAUUCCUGGUGUAGCGGUGGAAUGCGUAGAGAUCCGGAAGAACACCGGUGGCCGAAGGCGGCCUGCUGGGCAGUAGCUGACGC
rnacentral:rRNA from 1 species